GUGCAUAAUUUCAUCAUGGUCAAGGUGGCGAUUUUAUCACUGUGUUCCUACUCUGAACUUCACUUUGGAAAAGGAACGCGUCUUACAGUAAUUGGAGAGGGUGAACAUUCCAGCCCUCCAAAGGUGACCAUAUUUUCACCGUCUACACAGGAGCUCAAAGAAAAGAAUAAAGCUACAAUUGUGUGUUUGGUCACUGAUUUCUACCCAGAUCAUAUCAUUCUUACCUGGUCUGUGAAUGGCAAAGAAAGAAAAGGGGGUGUAAACACAGAGACACCCAAAUUGGAAUCCCCAGGCAAAUAUUCGCUGAUCAGUCGUUUAAGAGUCACCAGCCAAGAGUGGCAGAAUUCAUAUAACAAGUUUGACUGCAAAGUUAAGUUCUACGAUGAGACUAAAGCAUCAUCCUAUGAGGAGAGUAUACAUGGCAUAGACUGUGAUGGUGGCAUUGACCAAACAAGAGAAACAUAUCUCAGGACAGCCAAUCUUGGGAAACUGGUGUAUAUUCUUCUCAUUUUCAAGAGUUUCUUGUAUGGGGCAUUUGUGAUGGGCUGGAAGUUACGGAAAAAGUGACAUCCAUUGCUGUAGAAGCCCUUCGGCUGGAAGCACAUGUCACCUGUACUGAACGAACUCUGAGAAGCAAGAGAUACAUGGCUGCGCUGAAAAAUCUAGAGUGCCACAAACUGUCAAUAGUUUGAGUUAAUAAUUGCUUGCGGAUGCUUUUUAACUGCUGUACUUUUGAAAAAGCAAUAAUAUUUUCUGGUGUUUCUUUUCUGUUUUUACUCUGUUUACUUGGAACUAAGUUUGUGCAGAGGUGCAGCUUCAUAGUGCAACCUUAAUUAUACAUGUUUUUUUUCACAAACAUGCCAUACUGAAUCCCAUAGGACUUACCUCCAGAGAAGGAGGUUGGCCUUAAAGUUCUACUGAGUUUCAGAUUCAACAUGCGCAGCAGAAGCUUAUGCAUAAUUUGCUCAGAAGUGCAUCCUACCAAGAUAAACAAGAUUUUACUUCCAAGCAGGGGUAGAUAGUAUUGCAACCAUAUGAAUGUAUGUGAUUCUCCAGUUGCUAGAGUCUCUCUUUGACUAUCAUGCCUUGUAAACUUUUGUUGAUUCUCUGUCCUGACCUAUUUUUAGUAAAGUCACAGAACAGUUUU